AUUGAACGCUGGCGGCAGGCCUAACACAUGCCAGUCGAACGGUAACAGGAAGCAGCUUGCUGCUUUGCUGACGAGUGGCGGACGGGUGAGUCAUGUCUGGGAAACUGCCCGAUGGAGGGGGAUAACUACUGGAAACGGUAGCUACUACCGCAUAACGUCGCAAGACCAAAGAGGGGGACCUUAGGGCCUCUUGCCAUCGGGUGUGCCCAGAUGGGCAUCGCUAGUAGGUGGGGUAACGGCUCACCUAGGCGACGAUCCCUAGCUGGUCUGAGAGGAUGACCAGCCACACUGGAACUGAGACACGGUCCAGACUCCUACGGGAGGCAGCAGUGGGGAAUAUUGCACAAUGGGCGCAAGCCUGAUGCAGCCAUGCCGCGUGUAUGAAGAAGGCCUUCGGGUUGUAAAGUACUUUCAGCGGGGAGGAAGGGAGUAAAGUUAAUACCUUUGCUCAUUGACGUUACCCGCAGAAGAAGCACCGGCUAACUCCGUG
rnacentral:rRNA from 1 species